UGUUGUAAUUCAUAGGGAUCUGCAGUUAGAACAGGAGGAGACGCUGGGGCUCCCAUCCUCAGGCUUCUCGUUUAACAGGUGAGAAAGGUGAGGAUUAAGUGUCUAGGAUCCUAAUACAUGUCUGAAGAUUCCCCGGAUUUGGAGGCAGAAGAUCUGAGUUCGAGUCUGGCUGUUCAUUUGUUCUCUGACUAAGGAAAAGGAAACUGAGGUCUAAUGAAGGGAAAGAGUUUGUCCAAACUCUGGGUCCAAGGCGGGAUCUGAACCUAAAUUAGUGCGGUACAGAGAAAGUCUCCUGGAAUCCACUCCUUUGUGUAGUUGGGAAAGGAUGUAGAAAAGUCUCUCCCAAAAAGCCUGGAUGACUCAAGUGCUAAGAGAAAAAUCGAUUUGAAAGCCAUUGAAAUCGAUUGAAAUCUCCUGUUAUGUAAUGCUUUUGGGCUAGCCCUGAAGAACAGUGAUAAUAAAGAUUCUAAGAGACUCGA